rnacentral:rRNA from 1 species
AGAGUUUGAUCCUGGCUCAGGAUGAACGCUGGCGGCAGGCUUAACACAUGCAAGUCGAACGGUAAGGCCCCUUCGGGGGUACACGAGUGGCGAACGGGUGAGUAACACGUGAGCAACCUGCCCUUGACACCGGAAUAACAGUUGGAAACAGCUGCUAAUGCCGGAUACGACCUCCGAUGGCAUCAUCUGGAGGUGGAAAGCGAUUCAGCGGUCAAGGAUGGGCUCGCGGCCUAUCAGCUUGUUGGUGAGGUAACGGCUCACCAAGGCUUCGACGGGUAGCCGGCCUGAGAGGGCGACCGGCCACACUGGGACUGAGAUACGGCCCAGACUCCUACGGGAGGCAGCAGUGGGGAAUAUUGCACAAUGGGCGCAAGCCUGAUGCAGCAACGCCGCGUGCGGGAUGACGGCCUUCGGGUUGUAAACCGCUUUCAGUUCCGACGAAGCGCAAGUGACGGUAGGAACAGAAGAAGGACCGGCCAACUACGUGCCAGCAGCCGCGGUGAUACGUAGGGUCCGAGCGUUGUCUGAAUUAUUGGGCGUAAAGGGCUUGUAGGCGGUUUGUCACGUCGGAAGUGAAAACUCAGGGCUCAACCCUGAGCCUGCUUCCGAUACGGGCAAACUAGAGGGAUGCAGGGGAGAAUGGAAUUCCUGGUGGAGCGGUGGAAUGCGCAGAUAUCAGGAGGAACACCGGUGGCGAAGGCGGUUCUCUGGGCAUUUCCUGACGCUGAGAAGCGAAAGCGUGGGGAGCAAACAGGCUUAGAUACCCUGGUAGUCCACGCCGUAAACGGUGGGCACUAGGUGUGGGGAACAUUCCACGUUCUCCGUGCCGAAGCUAACGCAUUAAGUGCCCCGCCUGGGGAGUACGGCCGCAAGGCU